AUGAACGCUGGCGGCGUGCCUAAUACAUGCAAGUCGAGCGAACAGACGAGGAGCUUGCUCCUCUGACGUUAGCGGCGGACGGGUGAGUAACACGUGGAUAACCUACCUAUAAGACUGGGAUAACUUCGGGAAACCGGAGCUAAUACCGGAUAAUAUAUUGAACCGCAUGGUUCAAUAGUGAAAGACGGUUUUGCUGUCACUUAUAGAUGGAUCCGCGCCGCAUUAGCUAGUUGGUAAGGUAACGGCUUACCAAGGCAACGAUGCGUAGCCGACCUGAGAGGGUGAUCGGCCACACUGGAACUGAGACACGGUCCAGACUCCUACGGGAGGCAGCAGUAGGGAAUCUUCCGCAAUGGGCGAAAGCCUGACGGAGCAACGCCGCGUGAGUGAUGAAGGUCUUCGGAUCGUAAAACUCUGUUAUUAGGGAAGAACAAAUGUGUAAGUAACUAUGCACGUCUUGACGGUACCUAAUCAGAAAGCCACGGCUAACUAUGU
rnacentral:rRNA from 1 species